rnacentral:rRNA from 1 species
AACGAACGCUGGCGGCAUGCCUAACACAUGCAAGUCGAACGAGCCCUUCGGGUCUAGUGGCGCACGGUUGCGUAACGCGUGGGAACCUGCCCUUAGGUUCGGAAUAACUCCCCGAAAGGGGUGCUAAUACCGGAUAAUGUCUUCGGACCAAAGAUUUAUCGCCUUUGGAGGGGCCCGCGUUGGAUUAGCUAGUUGUUAGGGUAAAAGCCUAACAAGGCGACGAUCGAUAGCUGGUCUGAGAGGAUGAUCAGCCACACUGGGACUGAGACACGGCCCAGACUCCUACGGGAGGCAGCAGUGGGGAAUAUUGGACAGUGGGCGAAAGCCUGAUCCAGCAAUGCCGCGUGAGUGAUGAAGGCCUUAGGGUUGUAAAGCUCUUUUACCCGGGAUGAUAAUGACAGUACCGGGAGAAUAAGCUCCGGCUAACUCCGUG